UCUGGCCCUAGAGACAUUGCAGGUGUGGCUGCUGUGUCAUAUGUAUAUCACUAGGUGGCAGAGAGGAGAGAGGCUAAUGACUACACUCAGUGUUCUGACCUAAGAACAUCUGAAUGAUUACUAUGCAAACAUU